GGUGAACGCUGGCGGCGUGCUUAAGACAUGCAAGUCGAACGGCAGUCUUCGGACUGUGGUGGCGCACGGGUGAGUAACGCGUAACUGACCUACCCCAAAGUCGCGGAUAACGAUUCGGAAGAAUCGCUAAUACGUGAUGUGCUGUCAGAUUGUGUUCUGCCAGCACAGAUUGAUUGCUUUGGGUUGGGGUGGCGUUCCAUCAGCUAGUUGGUGGGGUAAAGGCCCACCAAGGCGACGACGGAUAGCCGGCCUGAGAGGGUGGCCGGCCACAGGGGCACUGAGACACGGGUCCCACUCCUACGGGAGGCAGCAGUUAGGAAUCUUCCACAAUGGGCGAAAGCCUGAUGGAGCGACGCCGCGUGAGGGAUGAAGGUCUUCGGAUCGUAAACCUCUGAAUCAGGGACGAAAGACACUUCGGUGGGAUGACGGUACCUGAGUAAUAGCACCGGCUAACUCCGUGCCAGCCGCCGCCGUAACAC
rnacentral:rRNA from 1 species